rnacentral:lncRNA from 1 species
AACGCCCCGACCCUGUCCAGACGGACAUAACCAAGCAGACCCCUUUUCAUUUUCUAAUCCCUAGCAGCAACACCCAACCCCUCAACCUUCAUCUUCACCAAACGAACCCCUGAGUCGACUCCUCCCCUCGCUGGCCACCUUCAUGCCGCCGGACAGCCCCCUUCCAACUCUACGCCGUUGAACGACCACCCACCUUCAGCCGCAGAACCUAAACAACCUUCCACUAUCAUCGCCUUCUUCACCAAAGAGACCCCAAUGACCUCUCUUCUUCACCUGCCUCCUCUCAAAGACCAGAAACAACCCCCACGCCACCGGUCACGCCGAGGUCUCCAAUCAUGGUUUCAGUUCUGGGUUUAUUAUCCUUGUCUUCUAUUCACUUAUAUGGUCCAACGUUGUUGUUGUUUGCGAAUAAAUGCUCAAUUGUCCUUGUAAUCUGAACUUGAGAUCUUGCAAAUUGGAAAGUGUGGUUGGUUGAGGGUCGUUUCUGUUUUUAAUCUUCAUGUCGUGUAUGGUGUGAUAUUUAAUGUUGUCAUAUUACCGGUGCAUUGUUUAAAUGUCUAUGGGUUUAUUUGUUCUUGGUUGGAAAAUGUAUUGUGAUGCCUUAAUGAUUCCUAAUAUCCCGCCUGAUUUUGAUAGAUGGCUUGAGUUUCGGAGUUAGCGAAUCACUCGAGUCAACCAAUGAAUUGCUGAAAUUUUGUUAAUUGAAACAAUUUCAGGUUCAAUUUUUCUUCUUUUCCUCUAUUAUUUGUGAUGUUAAUCUCAUGUGUCAUGAUUGAAAUAUGUUUUGAAUAGUGAUUGAAAUAUGUUGAGAGCCAAUUCUCUUAGUUGUUUGGUGAUUUUGUAUAUGUUCAGUCAUGUGUGUUCAGCGAGUCCGUUGUGUGAAUCAGUCUGGUUUUGGAUUUGGUUUAUGCUGACAGAUUUGUGCAUUUUGAUUCAUUUCUGUUUUAGAAUGUUGCAAAGCUUUUCAUUUUUGAUAUAUGCUUGUUCUUCGCUCUCUAAUUGGAUCCAUAUGGAUUUUUAAGUCUUCAUUUGUCCUUCGUCAUUGGCUUUAGUGUCUUGUUUCAGGUUGGAUACAUCACUGUUGUAAAUGGUCUGUUUCCUUUUGGUUUUGAUGCGUGAUUUAAAUGUAUUGUUGGUGUCUUCUCUGAAUUUUAUUUUUUCGUGUCUUGUUAGAGUAUGUGUUACAUUCUUCUCAAUUUCAAGUUUAUACUUAAUGAUCGGGAUUCCCAGUUUGAGUUUAGCUUCACUUCAAAGGAUGAGAUAGUUUGAAUCCCUAUCUUUGUGGUGAUUUUGAAUUAAUAUGAAUGGAAAUGUCGACUAUGACACUAUACUUGUUAAGAUUGUUGUGCCUCUGAUUUUUACCUCAUAAAUGUCUUUCCUUGAAUGCGGUUUCAUUUUGCUGAGUAUGAAUUGGGAUUGAUUUUAUAUAGACCUAAACCUUUUUAAAAAUGGAUUGCUUAAGAAUUGUUUAAUGGAAAGAGUGAAUCUCACCUACUUAAAACGAUGCUAGCACAUGGAAGGAUAAAAGAGCACUAAGCUAGUUGAUAGUUUUAAAAUCAAAAGGGGACUAUGCUUUUUGGAAAGUGUAUAACAUGGGGUAAUAAUGAAAAGCCAAAAGGAAUUCUCUCUGAGUUGUAAAGAAAAGGCGAUUGAAUAAAAAAGGGAAAAAAGAGGGGUAAGCUUGAUCUUUAAAUGGAAAGGCCACAUACUUAGAAAAGGGGGGAUUUUCAGAGAGAGGAAAAUUUGGGAGAAGAAAAAAUUUUUAGAAGUUAAGAGUGAGAUAUAGACUAGUUCUUGACACUGAAGAAAAUUCAAGAGUUAGAAAGAAAAAAGAAAUAGGCUGGCUUUUAUUAUGAAAGGUUCAAUAUUAGAGAGUUGAAGAGAAAAAUACCAUGUCUCAUAUUUUCUUGAUCAGUCUGUUUUGUUUGUGUUAUUUGCUGUGGUAUUCUGCUUUUGUUGUUGUGUUGUGUUACUGCUGCACUCCUGAUUUCUUCCUCUUUGCUUUCCGAAUACCAGGUACACAAAUGAUACACUGGUUAAUGUAAGUUGAAAAUUGAAGCAUGAAUAAGAAAUAAAGAGUUGAAGUUUUAAAUUCGUUGUAGUUGUCUACUUGCUCGUAUAUAUAGUUGAAUAUUUCUUUCAUUAGAGUCAUGUAGUUAUUUGUUUGUGUAUAAAUAUCCAUGCUGUGUUAAUUCGUUAUUACUUGUCAAGAAGCGUGCUAGAUAUUAUUGAUUAAUUUUCAUAUGUUAGUGGUUUUGGAUAAAAAUCAGAUUUUUUAAAGUUCUUUCACUCCAAUAGCAUGUCACUCUAAAUUUG